rnacentral:lncRNA from 1 species
UUUCUUGCCAUAUCUAUCUGCGAUCCAUCUAAUCAAUGUCUGUUCGGUGUGAUGCCAGAGGCGGAGAAUAUACAAGUUUUUCUGCCCGAUAAUGAACAGGUCAUAUUUUGUCAAGAUAUCGUUUCAGUCGCUAUUUCUAUUGGCGAUUUGAUUGUUGCUUGACGAUAUUUUUAUCUUCUCGAUUUUUUUUUACUGAUCGGUUAUCGUAAUGUUUCGUCCACAGUUAUUUCUUCUUUAGGUUUUAGAUCACAUGGAUAUUAAUUUAAUGGGUCCCUUUUUGGAAUAAGUUGGUUGCAGAGAUCUUGUUGUCGUUUUGGACCCUUUGGAUUUUUAGAAGCUGAAAUAAUGUUUAUGAUCAUGGAUUUGAAUUGAUUGAUGAUAUACAGCAAGAAUUCAG